GAUGAACGCUAGCGGCAGGCUUAACACAUGCAAGUCGAGGGGUAGAAGGAGCUUGCUCCUUUGAGACCGGCGCACGGGUGCGUAACGCGUAUGCAAUCUACCUUUUGCAGAGGAUAGCCCAGAGAAAUUUGGAUUAAUACCUCAUAGUAUAGUACUUUGGCAUCAAGGAACUAUUAAAGUCACAACGGCAAAAAGAUGAGCAUGCGUCCCAUUAGCUAGUUGGUAAGGUAACGGCUUACCAAGGCUACGAUGGGUAGGGGUCCUGAGAGGGAGAUCCCCCACACUGGUACUGAGACACGGACCAGACUCCUACGGGAGGCAGCAGUGAGGAAUAUUGGACAAUGGGCGCAAGCCUGAUCCAGCCAUGCCGCGUGCAGGAUGACGGUCCUAUGGAUUGUAAACUGCUUUUGUUACAGGAAGAAACACUACUUCGUGAAGUAGCUUGACGGUACUGUAAGAAUAAGGAUCGGCUAACUCCGUGCCAGC
rnacentral:rRNA from 1 species